UACAUGGAUUUCAGYCGGGACCCGAAAGGGGAAGGACGYUUUUAUUARAUCAAAACCAAUCGGCCGGBUCGCCCGGUCGUUCCGUUUUGGUGACUMUGGAUAACCUUGGGCUGAUCGCACGGUUUCCGCACCGGCGACGUGUCCUUCAAAUGUCUGCCUUAUCAACUGACGAUGGUAGGUUUUGCGCCUACCAUGGUUGUAACGGGUGACGGGGAAUCAGGGUUCGAUUCCGGAGAGGGAKCCUGAGAAACGGCUACCACAUCCAARGAAGGCAGCAGGCGCGCAAAUWWACCCACUCCCGUCAUCGGGGAGGUAGUGMCGAAAAAUAACCGAUACUR
rnacentral:rRNA from 1 species